ensembl:lncRNA
AUGCUGAAAAGACAUAAAGGAAGCAGUCACCCCAGUCGUGUUUGUGGAGAGGUAUUCCUUCAGAAAUGGAGAAGACAGAAAGCUGCAGAGGCAGGAUUGUUUGCAGAUAAUGCUGUUCUUCUUUUUCAGAAGUUUUUGGUGAGCCAACUCUCACAAACCUUCCUAAAAACUAAAAGAGCUAUUACUGAGUCUCGGCUAAUCUUGCCAUGGUCAGCUCUUCCCAGGUUCAUUUGUUUACUCAUCAAAUGCUCUGGUCUGAAUCUUACUUUAAAUUAACUUAAUUAUAUGUUUAAUGAGCAAUAUUAAUUGCACACAUAGUAAGAUUAUCUUGUUUCACAGAAGAGAAGGAAGACCAAGGAAAUUAUUUGCUCAGGAUGAGAAAUGAAGAUGGCCAUCUUGUGCUCAAACAAACAGAAGUCCUCUGGUAUGUGUGUGUUGAAGCAAUGUUGUCUUAUGUGUUACAGGACUUUAUGAUUCCUGUAACUCUAUGAUUAUUCUUUCCAAUGUUUUUUUAUAUUUAUUUUUAUUUUUAUUUGAUACAGCUAUUAUAAUUAUAGCAUGUUAGCAAAGUGUGACUGGAACAUUUUUAAUCUAAAAUUUUUAAAAAACACCACCUGUUUUUCUUAAAAGAACACAAGUGUCAUAAAAGUGGUUUAAUUGAUAUAAACACAAAUUUACAUUAUCUCAUUGUUUUAUAAAUGUUGUGUUAUGGAUUGUGGAUUGAUAGUUGAUUGGUUUGAAGCCAGGCCUUAACCCUGCUCAGACUAAAACACAUUUGUGAGAGAAGUCAGGAACUUUGGAGAAAGAUUCUAGAGAAAAAAAAAGACACAUUUACUGCAACAAUAGAUGAAUUCUAGAGUCUCUGAGAACUACACAUGCUAAUGCAGUCUCAUGAGCAGGACCUUUGCCUCUGUAACUUUUUCUUAAUUCUUGCAGAAUGAAAUUUUUAUUGCAGUAUUUUAAUUUGUACAGAUGAUCUCAUCAGCCAAAUGAGGGGUUUUGACCAAGUGAUGCUCUUGAAAGGAGUGAAAGAAGAGGAUGUGGUAAAUUGUCUUAAAGCAGCUUGAAGAAUGGUAAGUGUACAGUACUACAAGGGUCAUAGUUGCUCACCCUGCUAAAAUCACACAGAACAUAAGCUGAGCUCUCUGUCCAUUAAACAACUUCAUCUGGAUUGUUUGUUUCACUUUGACCAGGUCUGGGAUGUUAGGACUGAGAGAUCCUCUGACUGAGAGAAGCUACACCACAUCAGUGCUGGAUAUCAACCACAAACUGUUUCCAGACACGAGAGAAGAAGAUCAUGAUGGGGAGAUGAAACCAGUUUAGAUGUGAUGAUAAGGAAUCAUUAUUUUCUGAAACAGGAUCAAAUGUCUUAUAUGUAUCACAUGAUCUGUAUCACAGUUGACUGGAUGGGACUGUGUGACUCUUUAAGUACAUUUCAUCACUCAUCUGUGUGAACUGAUUAAUAUAUGAGGUUAAUGUAUUUUUGAUUAUGAAUAAUUAUUUUCCUUGAAUCUUAUUUGUCUUGAUGCUACUUUAUCAUCUGUAUAGUCUAUGCUUCAAUAAAAUGAAAAUUGUGAAUAUUGUGUUCUGAAGAUUCUUGGUAAACACAUCAUUUUACUAGGUAGGCUCAUAUGUGUUUAUUU